ACUGCUGAGAAACUGGGACACGAGACAUUUAGUCACUUGGCCCAAAUUCUUACGGGGCUUUUAGGAGACCUUCACUUCAGCUCUCCUCCCUGGGCCGGCUCUCAGCUCUUCAGGGUUCUGCGCCAGCUCUCCUCUUGCUUCAGGUUUUCAUUCAAACGGCCAACGGUGCUGAAACUUCUGGUUAGACAGUGGCAGAGGAUAGACACCCUCAGAGGCUCGGAGCAGAUCACUGUAUUUCCAGUACUUGAGAGGACGAGGCAAGAAGACCACAGGCAUGUUCCUGGCUAGCCUGGGCUACAGAGUGACCUUUGAUAGUACCCGCUCCUUGACACGAUCAUCCACGUGUCCUCUGGAGGCACACUUCUUCCCACAUGUGACACCCAGCUGGGUGCAGGAAUUUUGCUAGAGGAAUCAGCCUCAAAAUAUCAAGAUGACACAUAAUCAAGUCAAGACGGCUGCUCAGCCUUCUCCACUCAAGAUGGGAGAGUUUUUCAAACCCUGGAGCACAGGAGAUGGCUAAUAAGGAGAUAAGGCCCUUUACCAGGAGUUCAGUUUAAGGUCUUAUCACCACCACACCGGAACAUAAGGCUAGGAAGAGGAAGAGGAAGUCCCUGAACUGACCUGGGACAUUUGUACCACUAAGAAGAGACGUGUAGUAGCCAGAAAUCUCUGACAUGGACCACAGAUUACACCCUAAGACUGUGUGAGGGAGUGUCUGACACAGCUUUGAAGAGAACCCCUGAAAGGCUUCCAGCCACCCAGAUGUCGUAGCUCCAGAAUAAACUCACUUGAGAGACGUCCUUGGCCCAGAGAAGAAAAGCUAAUUAAGAUUAAAGAGGUGGAACCUGA